rnacentral:rRNA from 1 species
CAUCGGAACGUAUCCUUAAGUGGGGGAUAACGCAUCGAAAGAUGCGCUAAUACCGCAUAAUCUCUAAGGAGAAAAGCAGGGGAUCGCAAGACCUUGCGCUUUUGGAGCGGCCGAUGUCUGAUUAGCUAGUUGGUGAGGUAAAGGCUUACCAAGGCUUCGAUCAGUAGCUGGUCUGAGAGGACGACCAGCCACACUGGGACUGAGACACGGCCCAG